ensembl:lncRNA
GCUUAGACCAUGUGACAGCAGUCCCAAGUGAAUUCCCUUUUUCAUAUCCAUUGACUUCUUAUCUUCCAUAUGGCUUUCCCCUCCUCUGUGUGCUCACACUAAUCAGGGAUCGGUUUGAUUGAAGGGGGUGGUCGUUCUGUUUUUGACACAAUGACAACAGUCUAAACACAUCAUUGUGUCUAAACAGAGGAGAGUUUUCUUCCAAGAUACUGAUGUCAAAAACUGUCACUUCAGUAAAGGGUGAUGGGGUCAGCAGGAGUCUGUGUUGAUUUGUGACUGUUGCUUCCUUUAGGGUGAGCGAGGACAGUGGUGAACAAACAAGCUGAUUGAUGUUUCUCAACCACAGAUGGAAAUGCACAGAUAAUUAAGGACAAGAGAACAUCAGCAGUGGAGUUUUUAUAUGAGAUCAUUAGAUGUGAUGCUGUCAUUCCCUGGAAACCAGUCUUGCCUUCAUACAAAAACACUGUCUGAUAAGCAACUGACUUAUGCCCUAGGAUUUGGACACAACCACAGAACUUCCUGGGAUAGCUCUCCCAAAGGAAAAAGCCAUGGUAAAGUAAAAUAUCUUCUUGUCUUUCCUGCUCUGUCCAUUCCUUUUGUGUUGAAAGUAUCCAUAUGGCUUUUUGUGGGUUUAACGGUGGCGUAACCUGGAAUGCAUCCAGCCCGUUGAACUGGGGGUCAGAGCCAUACAAUGAGACAUGGAUCUGUUCUCCUUCACAAUUAAAGCCAGUCCAGGCCAUUUACAUCCAAAUAUGCUGUAUUCAGCCCUUGUUUACACAACAGUAUCUCUCUCUCACUUCCUCUCUCUCUCACCCUUUCCCCUUAGCCGUAACUCCUCCUUCCAAACCAUCAUUCUAACAACUAUACAUUCUUUCUCCCCUUCCACUCUUACUCUGAAUGACUUAGUCACUGCAUGCUGAGGCUUCCCGUUGCCUGUGGGGAUUUUGGGGAAUUUGUGAUGACAGCACCUAUCCCUCUGCGGAGGAGUUGCCUUGAAUUUCCAAGGAGAAGAGGCAAAGGAGAGGCUCACGAAGGCUGAGCGCGUCCACAUGCACGUUUCUUGGUUUUAAUGGGACCUUAGACACUUUGCACUCUCCUCAUCAUGACCGUGAGGGCCGUUGGACUUCUUAGAAUGUUUUGAACUACUCUAAGGUGAGAUGGCCUUCAUUGUUUUAAUAUGCAGAAGUCUGUCUUCAAUGCUGACCUGCUGGAGACCCUUGAGUGCAGGUGGAUGAUGGAUAAAGUUCAUGACAGAGAAUACUGAUAGCUUGAAGUCACUUUGGAUGAAAGUGUCUGCCAAAUGAAUACAUUUAAAGUUUAAUGUGCUUCUAAAUGUGAAAGUGAAAUGUCAGGACUCGCUGGAAAAUGUUACAUAUACUUGAAACAUCUUUAGAUGGGUAGUUCAUAUGUUCUGUGGCAUGACAUUCUGCAUUUACUGUAUCUAAAACUAUUUUAAAUAGCAUUUUGUUAGCUCUUUUAUGAUUAUUUAUGCAUGCAACUUCACCUUUUUAAUGAAGAGACUACAUAACAGAAGCCUGUUAAUAAAACAAGUAAUUGUUUCUUCA